GAUGGCUUCUGCAGUGAUAUACUAAAUGGGACAAUAUGGAGAAGAUUAGCAUGGCCCCUGCACAAGGAUGUCACACAAAUUUGCGAAUAUGUGAACAGGACA